CCUACGGGUGGCAGCAGUGAGGAAUAUUGGUCAAUGGGCGCGAGCCUGAACCAGCCAAGUAGCGUGAAGGAUGACUGCCCUACGGGUUGUAAACUUCUUUUAUAAAGGAAUAAAGUGAGGCACGUGUGCCUUUUUGUAUGUACUUUAUGAAUAAGGAACGGCUAACUCCGUGCCAGCAGCCGCGGUAAUACGGAGGAUCCGAGCGUUUUCCGGAUUUAUUGGGUUUAAAGGGAGCGUAGAUGGGUUGUUAAGUCAGUUGUGAAAGUUUGCGGCUCAACCGUAAGAUUGCAAUUGAUACUGGCAGUCUUGAGUGCAGUUGAGGUAGGCGGAAUUCGUGGUGUAGCGGUGAAAUGCUUAGAUAUCACGAAGAACUCCGAUUGCGAAGGUAGCUUACUAGACUGCCACUGACAUUGAUGCUCGAAAGUGUGGGUAGCAAACAGGAUUAGAUACCCUGGUAGUC
rnacentral:rRNA from 1 species